AAUGAGAUUUUAUCAAUCUGUUUUUUUGUUUUGUUUUUGUUUUUAAAGAGAAUGGGCA
rnacentral:ribozyme from 1 species